GCCUUCGUAGUGAAACUGGAAGCACACUCAAGUCGUAUUCGGGAGGUCCCGAGUUCGAAUCUCGGCGAGGGCA
rnacentral:tRNA from 1 species